rnacentral:rRNA from 1 species
UACGUAGGGUGCAAGCGUUGUCCGGAAUUAUUGGGCGUAAAGAGCUCGUAGGCGGCUUGUCGCGUCUGCCGUGAAAACCCGAGGCUCAACCUCGGGCGUGCGGUGGGUACGGGCAGGCUAGAGUGCGGUAGGGGAGAUUGGAAUUCCUGGUGUAGCGGUGGAAUGCGCAGAUAUCAGGAGGAACACCGAUGGCGAAGGCAGAUCUCUGGGCCGUAACUGACGCUGAGGAGCGAAAGCAUGGGGAGCGAACAGG